GCCAGACUCCUACGGGAGGCAGCAGUGGGGAAUCUUCCGCAAUGGGCGAAAGCCUGACGGAGCAACGCCGCGUGAUCGAAUGAAGGCCUUCGGGUUGUAAAGAUCUGUUGACAGGGACGAAUAAGCAAUGCGAAUAGUUUUGUGUAUGACGGUACCUGUUUAGAAAGCUCCGGCUAACUACGUGCCAGCAGCCGCGGUAAUACGUAGGGGGCAAGCGUUAUCCGGAUUCACUGGGCGUAAAGGGAGCGCAGGCGGCAUGGCAAGUCUGAUGUGAAAACCCGGGGCCCAACCCCGGGAGUGCAUUGGAAACUGCCAGGCUGGAGUGUCGGAGGGGUAAGCGGAAUUCCUAGUGUAGCGGUGAAAUGCGUAGAUAUUAGGAGGAACACCAGUGGCGAAGGCGGCUUACUGGACGACUACUGACGCUGAGGCUCGAAAGCGUGGGGAGCAAACAGGAUUAGAUACCCCUGUAGUU
rnacentral:rRNA from 1 species